CCUGAGAAACCCAAAAGAUCGAAUGGGGAAAUUCAUCGCCAGCGGCGCUGGCUUCCGUGCGGCGCGCGAUGGCAGGGACUUCGGUCUCGCGUCACGCCGCCGCUGCGAUGCCCUCUCGCGCUUUAGAUCGGCCGGUCGAACGUCCGACUGCUCGGCGGUAUCGAACGUUGAAAACUGGUACUGGGCCGCAUUCAGUGCGCUCCUGGCUCGUCGGCAGGCUCGUCUCGCUCGGAUUUACGGACCUAGCGUCGUGGCCAGGCGCUUGGCGCGGUCGUUAGUCGGCGAUGUCUUCGGACUGGCUCUUACCGGUCGA
rnacentral:rRNA from 1 species